rnacentral:rRNA from 1 species
GGAAUAUUGGUCAAUGGGUGAGAGCCUGAACCAGCCAUGCCGCGUGCAGGAAGACGGCCUUCUGGGUUGUAAACUGCUUUUAUCUGGGGAUAAAAAGCCCAUGCGUGGGACAUUGAAGGUACCAGAUGAAUAAGCACCGGCUAACUACGUGCCAGCAGCCGCGGUAAUACGUAGGGUGCAAGCGUUGUCCGGAUUUAUUGGGUUUAAAGGGUGCGUAGGCGGUCUAUUAAGUCAGUGGUGAAAUCCAACAGCUCAACUGUUGAUGUGCCAAUGAUACUGAUGGACUUGAGUACAGACGAGGUAGGCGGAAUUGACAGUGUAGCGGUGAAAUGCAUAGAUAUUGUCAAGAACACCGAUAGCGAAGGCAGCUUGCUAGCCUGUAACUGACGCUGAGGCACGAAGGUAUGGGGAUCAAACAGGAUUAGAAACCCGGGUAG